rnacentral:RNase_P_RNA from 1 species
UCGGGGGAGACGGGCGGAGGGGAGGAAAGUCCGGGCUCCAUAGGGCAGGGUGCCAGGUAACGCCUGGGGGGGAAACCCACGACCAGUGCAACAGAGAGCAAACCGCCGAUGGCCCGCGCAAGCGGGAUCAGGUAAGGGUGAAAGGGUGCGGUAAGAGCGCACCGCGCGGCUGGUAACAGUCCGUGGCACGGUAAACUCCACCCGGAGCAAGGCCAAAUAGGGGUUCAUAAGGUACGGCCCGUACUGAACCCGGGUAGGCUGCUUGAGCCAGUGAGCGAUUGCUGGCCUAGAUGAAUGACUGUCCACGACAGAACC